rnacentral:rRNA from 1 species
GACGAACGCUGGCGGCGUGGAUUAGGCAUGCAAGUCGAACGGUAUCAUCCUUUCGGGGGUGAGAGAGUGGCGAACUGGUGAGUAACACGUAGGUUAUCUACCCUCAAGACGGGGACAACCCAGGGAAACUUGGGCUAAUACCGGAUGUGAGCAACUUUUAGUUGUUUGAAAGGUGGCGUAAGCUGUCGCUUGGGGAUGAGCCUGCGUCCUAUUAGUUAGUUGGUGAGGUAACGGCUCACCUAGGCAAUGAUAGGUAGGCGGCCUUAACGGGUGGUCGCCCACACUGGGAUUGAGAUACGGCCCAGACUCCUACGGGAGGCAGCAGUCGAGAAUAGUCUACAAUGGUCGGAAGACUGAUAGUGCGACGCCGCGUGAACGAUGAAUCCCUUCGGGGUGUAAAGUUCUUUUAUAUGUGAGCAGUGCUUCUUAUAUUAACAGUUAUGGGGAGAGAGAUAUUAGCAUAUGAAUAAGCAACGGCUAACUCCGUGCCAGCAGCCGCGGUAAA